UACGUAGGGUGCAAGCGUUGUCCGGAAUUAUUGGGCGUAAAGAGUUCGUAGGCGGCAUGGAAAGUAGGGUGUGAAAGCCCCCGGCUCAACCGGGGAAUGGGCGCCGAUACGACCGUCCUGGAGGAACGUAGGGGGACCCGGAACUUCCGGUGGAGCGGUGAAAUGCGUUGAGAUCGGAAGGAACGCCCGUGGCGAAAGCGAGGUCCUGGACGUUUUCUGACGCUGAGACGCGAAAGCCAGGGGAGCGAACGGG
rnacentral:rRNA from 1 species